rnacentral:lncRNA from 1 species
GUUUGAUUACAGUGCCCAUUUCCCUGAGAAAUCGCCUUUUUGAGUUUUUAAAAACAUAUUUACAUUUUUAAGAGAGCAGAGGCUCUAACAAGAGAAGAGAUCACAGAAACGUGAGGAUCAAGAAGCCGGACUACAAGGUCGCCUACGUGCAGCUGGCCCAUGGACAGACCUUCACGUUCCCAGAUCUGUUUCCCGAGAAAGACGAGAGCCCUGAAGGCAGCGCUGCCGACGACCUCUACAGCAUGCUCGAGGAGGAGAGGCAGCAGAGGCAGAGCAGCGACCCGCGGCGGGGCGGCGUCCCCAGCUGGUUCGGGCUGUGACGGGGUGGCCAGCAGGGACGCGCCCCAGGUGGGCAGCUGUGGCAGAGCAGCGACCCGCGGCGGGGCGGCAUCCCCAGCUGGUUCGGGCCGUGACGGGGCGGCCAGCAGGGACGCGCCCCAGGUGGGCAGCUGUGGCAGAGCAGUCCCGACACCUAAAUAAAAGUCUUGCUGCAGGAGAAA